rnacentral:tRNA from 1 species
GGGGAUGUAGCUCAAUGGUAGAGCCUCAGUCUUCCAAACUGAUGACGCCAGUUCGAUCCUGGUCAUCCCCUCCA